CCUACGGGAGGCAGCAGUGAGGAAUAUUGGUCAAUGGGCGCUAGCCUGAACCAGCCAAGUAGCGUGAAGGAUGACUGCCCUAUGGGUUGUAAACUUCUUUUAUAUGGGAAUAAAGUGCAGUAUGUAUACUGCUUUGCAUGUACCUUAUGAAUAAGGAUCGGCUAACUCCGUGCCAGCAGCCGCGGUAAUACGGAGGAUCCGAACGUUAUCCGGAUUUAUUGGGUUUAAAGGGAGCGGAGGCGGGUUGUUAAGUCAGUUGUGAAAGUUUGCGGCUCAACCGUAAAAUUUCAGUUGAGACUUGCAGCCUUGAGGACAGGAGAGGUAGGCGGAAUUCGUGGGGUAGCGGUGAAAUGCUUAGAUAUUACGAAGAACUCCGAGUGCUAAGGCAGCCUGCUGGACUGUAACUGACGCUGAUGCUCGAAAGUGUGGGUAUCAAACAGGAUUAGAUACCCUAGUAGUC
rnacentral:rRNA from 1 species